GUGCUCGCUUCGACAGCACGUAGACUAAAAUGGAAUCAACACAGAGAAGAUUAGCGUGGCCCAGGCGCUGGGAUGACACCCAGAUUCACGAGGCGUCCCGUAUGAAA
ensembl:snRNA U6 U6 spliceosomal RNA